rnacentral:rRNA from 1 species
UCAGGAUGAACGCUGGCGGCGUGCCUAACACAUGCAAGUCGAGCGGAGAUACAUGUCUAAGAGGUUCGGUCGAAUUAAUGUAUCUUAGCGGCGGAUGGGUGAGGAACGCGUGGAGAACCUGCCCUUCACAGGGGGAUAACAGCUGGAAACGGUUGUUAAUACCGCAUAUGCUCACAGGAUCGCAUGAUCCAGGGAGGAAAGCCGAGACGGUGAAGGAUGGCUCCGCGUCGGAUUAGCCAGUUGGCGGGGUAACGGCCCACCAAAGCGAUGAUCCGUAGCCGGCCUGAGAGGGCGACCGGCCACAUUGGGACUGAGACACGGCCCAAACUCCUACGGGAGGCAGCAGUGGGGGGUAUUGCACAAUGGGGGGAACCCUGAUGCAGCGACGCCGCGUGAAGGAGGAAGUGCUUCGGCAUGUAAACUUCUAUCAGCAGGGAAGAAGAUGACGGUACCUGACUAAGAAGCCCCGGCUAACUACGUGCCAGCAGCGGC